UACGGAGGGUGCAAGCGUUAUCCGGAUUCACUGGGUUUAAAGGGUGCGUAGGCGGGCAGGUAAGUCCGUGGUGAAAUCUCUGAGCUUAACUCAGAAACUGCCAUGGAUACUAUUUGUCUUGAAUGUUGUGGAGGUAAGCGGAAUAUGUCAUGUAGCGGUGAAAUGCUUAGAUAUGACAUAGAACACCAAUUGCAAAGGCAGCUUACUACACAAAUAUUGACGCUGAGGCACGAAAGCGUGGGGAUCAAACAGG
rnacentral:rRNA from 1 species